rnacentral:tRNA from 1 species
GGAGAGGUGGCGGAAUUGGUAGACGCGCUACUUUGAGGGGGUAGUGAUAAUUGCAUCGUGGGAGUUCGAGUCUCCUCCUCUUCACUA